CUCGUCAAAUCGUGGAAGAAGAUGGGACAGACUGCAGGAUGCGAGAUGGGGCCUCCACGUGAAAAGUAACUACAAAACAGAACCAGAAAAUAGUCAUGCUGUUCAAACAUUACACUCCAAGAAAAGAAACUCUAGUGUAUAACAGAGGGGCUCUGUCAAAAUUUAACAACAUAAAUAUUGGGCAAAUGAAGUUGUUUCUCUGGUGCUAUCUCAACCUGCCAAUGGAGAAAUAUCUCAAAAAGUCAAGAAUUGAAGCCAUUACUCAGAGACAGCAUCCUAUGGCAUGGUGAUCCAAAACAAGUACACCUCUACCUUUUCCCUUUCAGCCCCAAACCCCAAAACACUGGAGAAUAUUGGGGCAGGCAAGGCCCGUGAAUAGGUGAGCAGAGCUGGAAGAAGAGACUCCUGCCCCUGGUGGGCCUCAGGCUAUUUGUGGAAUGAUGUUUGUGAGAUGAACAUGUUCGCUCCCUCACCCGGAUGUUUUGGACAUAGGAGCCUGGAGUAAAGAGUGUAUAUCUUGG
rnacentral:lncRNA from 1 species